rnacentral:rRNA from 1 species
CGGCCAGCCACACUGGGACUGAGAUACGGCCCAGACUCCUACGGGAGGCAGCAGUAGGGAAUCUUGCGCAAUGGGCGAAAGCCUGACGCAGCGACACCGCGUGAGGGACGACGGCCCUCGGGUUGUAAACCUCUUUCGGCAGGGACGAAGCGAUCGUGACGGUACCUGCAGAAGAAGCUCCGGCUAACUACGUGCCAGCAGCCGCGGUAAGACGUAGGGAGCGAGCGUUGUCCGGAUUCAUUGGGCGUAAAGAGCGCGCAGGCGGUUUGGUAAGUCGGAUGUGAAAACCCGAGGCUCAACCCCGGGCGUGCAUCCGAUACUGCCCGACUAGAGGUAGGUAGGGGAGAUCGGAAUUCCUGGUGUAGCGGUGAAAUGCGCAGAUAUCAGGAGGAACACCGGUGGCGAAGGCGGAUCUCUGGGCCUUACCUGACGCUCAGGCGCGAAAGCUAGGGGAGCGAACAGGAUUAGAUACCCUGGUAGUCCUNGCCGUAAACGUUGGGUGCUAGGUGUGGGCGGAUAUCGACCCCGUCCGUGCCGAAGCUAACGCAUUAAGCACCCCGCCUGGGGAGUACGGCCGCAAGGCUAAAACUCAAAGGAAUUGACGGGGCCCCGCACAAGCGGCGGAGCAUGCUGCUUAAUUCGAUGCGACGCGAAGAACCUUACCUGGGCUUGACAUGCAGGGUGAAACCCGCGAAAG